CAUGAGCCAGCAGUGUGCUCUUGCAGCUCGGAAAGCAAAUGGUAUCCUGGGUUCCAUCAUGAGAGGGGUGGCCAGCAGGGACAGGGAGGUGAUUGUCCCUCUCUGCUCUGCCCUUGUGAGGACCUACCUAGAAGAAUGCAGAGCUGUUGAAGCAAGUCCAGAGGGAGCCACUAAGAUGAUUAAAGGGCUAGAGCACCUACUGUGUGAAGAAAGGUUGAGGCAGUUGAACUUCUUCAGUUUAGAGAAGAGAAGGCUCUGGAGACGCUUCACUGCAGCCUCUGGUACUUGAAGGGUGCUUAUAAUCAGGAGAGGAACUGACUUUUUACAUGGUGUGGUAGUGAUAGGACAAGGGGAAAAGACUUUAAUUUAAAAGAGAGGAGAUUUUAGAUCAGAUUUUAGGAAGCAAUUUCUUGCUUGGUGGGUGGUGAGGCACUGGAACAGGUUUCCCAGAGAGGCUGUGGAUACCCGUCUCUGGAGGCAUUCAAAGCCAGGUUGGAUGGGAUCCUGGGCAGCCUGAUCUGGCAGCUGGCAACCCUGAUCUAGUGGUUGGGCGGGGGGUUGGAACUAGAUCAUCUGUAAGGUCCCCUCCAACCUAAAGCAUUCUGUGAUUCUAUUAUUCAACAACCAUUUUAUGCACUGGAAGCUUAACUCUAGAUGCCUCAUUCUGUUUGCUAAGACUGGCCUGACUUCGAGCAUUUUCAAAGCCAUGUUUUUUGAAAAUGCAGUCUGUGUUUAGCUUGUAGACAUGAAUAUGUGAAGGUCUUUAGUUUCAUGUUAUUUGUCUGCUGUGUUUCAAUGUUUAUGCCAGCUGUUUGGAACAGAACAGGCAGCCCUGUCUUCCCUUCUGUACUGAAUGCAGCCAGUGGGAAGCUUCUUGCAGAAGUUCAUUCAAAACAUUAAGAACACCCUCACUGCUGUGCUAGCUUGCUCACUUGCUUUUCAGAAGUUGCCUAGUGGAUGAGCCUGCCACUGUCCUUCAUGCUUACUUUUUUCUCACUUGUAUUACUGCAGCACCUUUCUGUCCAAAUAGUGGUCUGUGCAGUAAGCACUACAGAAACAUAAAGCAGCUACCCAGCCUCUUCCCAGAGGGCUUGUAAUAAUAUAAUGAAAAUGUAAGUGAUCAGAGAUGGAUCAGGGUAGGGGAAUAACAAGGUCACACUAGGGGUGUUGUACAUGUGCCUGUACACUAACCAUUUUCAAGUUUUUUGGUAAAGGAGUAUUUUAAUAAGGGAUUCAAAGGAGGAUAACAGUUGGUUUUAUGAAUACACAUGCAGGCUCUUCUCAAGCCUGAGGGGCAGCAAGGGAGAAUGUACAAAAGAUGCUUGUUGGGAAAUUUCACAAAUUGAUCAAUUGAAGCUGGCAUCUGGGGCUGACUGAUGCUGGGCAUUUAUAUUUUGAUACGGGAUAAAAAGUGACAAGUUGGGAGUAAGCCAUGAAGGGCUUUGAAAGUUAAGAAAGUCACAAUAAGCUUGAUGUCCCAGAGGAAAAAGGAAUCAUUGAAGGCAUUCAGAGAUAAUGGGCAUAGUCAGAACAACAGGCCAGGAAAAUGAUUUAUAUAGCUGGGGCCUGAAAUGAACAGGGCAAGAGUGCUUUUGUCAGGG
ensembl:lncRNA